rnacentral:rRNA from 1 species
ACGAACGCUGGCGGCGUGCUUAACACAUGCAAGUCGAACGGAAAGGCCCCUUUGGGGGUACUCGAGUGGCGAACGGGUGAGUAACACGUGAGUAACCUGCCCUUGACUUCGGGAUAACUUCAGGAAACUGGGGCUAAUACCGGAUAGGAAUCCUUGCUGCAUGGUGGGGGUUGGAAAGCUUCGGCGGUUUUGGAUGGACUCGCGGCUUAUCAGCUUGUUGGUGGGGUAGUGGCUUACCAAGGCUUUGACGGGUAGCCGGCCUGAGAGGGCGACCGGCCACAUUGGGACUGAGAUACGGCCCAGACUCCUACGGGAGGCAGCAGUGGGGAAUUUUGCACAAUGGGCGGAAGCCUGAUGCAGCAACGCCGCGUGCGGGAUGACGGCCUUCGGGUUGUAAACCGCUUUCAGCAGGGGCGAAGCUUGUGGUGACGGUACCUGCAGAAGAAGCACCGGCUAACUACGU